GGCCCAACAAGGCGACGAUCAGUAGCCGGUCUGAGAGGAUGAACGGCCACAUUGGGACUGAGACACGGCCCAGACUCCUACGGGAGGCAGCAGUGGGGAAUCUUCCGCAAUGGACGAAAGUCUGACGGAGCAACGCCGCGUGAGUGAAGAAGGUCUUCGGAUUGUAAAGCUCUGUUAUACGGGACGAAAAAAGAUGGAUGCCAACAGUAUCCGUCCGUGACGGUACCGUAAGAGAAAGCCACGGCUAACUACGUGCCAGCAGCCGCGGUAAAU
rnacentral:rRNA from 1 species